UGGGCAACCUGCCCCUCUCUCUGGGAUAACCCCCGGGGGAACCGGAGCUAAUACCGGAUACUCCGGCUGGAUCGCAUGGUCCGGCCGGGAAAGGUCCGCCGGAGAGGGAUGGGCCCGCGGCCUAUCAGCUUGUUGGUGGGGUCAUGGCUCACCAAGGCGACGACGGGUAGCUGGUCUGAGAGGGUGACCGGCCACACUGGGACUGAGACACGGCCCAGACUCCGUACGGGAGGCA
rnacentral:rRNA from 1 species